CUUUAAAAAUCUGGAUCAAGCUGAAAAUUGAAACGACACACAGUUAAUGUGUGUUCGAGUCUCUCAAAUUUUCGCGACACGAUGGUGUUUUACGAAACAUCUUCGG
rnacentral:sRNA from 1 species